rnacentral:lncRNA from 1 species
AUUGAACAAUGCGUGUACUGCAUUCAAGUAAUAGAAUCUUAUAUUAUUUUCUCUUUCUAUUUUCUUUCUCUUUCGGGUUCCAUCUCUCUCCGAUCUAUCUCUCUUAUCCUCUCUUUACAGUCUAUUUCUCUCUGGAAAACCAGUCUCUCUCUCUCAAAAAAUACUCUCUCGUUCUCUCUCUAAAGACCUCUCUCUCUUUCAAACUCUCUUCUUCUCUGUCCCUGACACCUUCUCUUCUCUCUUUCCAAAAACUCUUCUUUUCUUUUAUGAAAUUCCAAUUCUAUCCCAUAUUAUAUUUCUAAUUUCAAAAUCUGUCCCUAUAUUUUAAUUACAC